ACAGGAGGAGAGAGAGAGACGCGCUCCAAUGAGAAAAGUUUACUUGUUCUUCCUCCGCACAGUCCCACAGCUGAGGGCAUUGAUGUGAGCGCAGAGGCUUUCUGUUUUUUACGCGCACUUCUUUCCCCCCAUCUUUCACCCUCACACACGGAGCACAAAUCCACCUUCUCACCUUUAGUUUAGCGCGUCUCUAUUUCUUUUCUUUCCUUUUCCUCCCUUUUAUGAAUGAUUCUCUCUAGCCAUACAACUUCUACUACUAGAAUAACCUCGGAUACCUCGCCGUCCUCGUCUGCACGACCUCACCUCGGCACACCUUCUCUCCUCAAGUUCAAACGCCACCAGGACUUUCACAGCAGCUUCAGACGCACUUGGGGAAAAUAUCACUCGACGAGGAAAAACUUGAUACUUUGUGCAGCAGCAGCGGCAGCGGCUGAAGCGACCGUCAACAUGAGUCUCAAAGCUGACGCAGAGCCGAAUAACAACGUUUCCAUCGAGGAGGAGGUACGAACACUGUUUGUCAGUGGCCUACCAGUAGAUAUCAAACCACGGGAACUUUACCUUCUCUUCAGACCCUUUAAGGGUUAUGAAGGGUCACUGAUUAAGUUAACUUCAAAACAGCCUGUCGGGUUUGUAACCUUUGACAGUCGGUCUGGAGCUGAAGCUGCAAAAAAUGCAUUAAAUGGUAUCCGUUUUGACCCCGAAAGUCCCCAGACCCUGCGCUUAGAGUUUGCUAAAGCCAACACGAAGAUGGCAAAGAGUAAGCUGAUGGCCACACCGAACCCCACAAAUAUCCACCCUGCUCUAGGAGCACACUUCAUUGCACGGGACCCAUAUGAUCUGACAGGGGCAGCACUGAUCCCAGCAUCACCAGAUGCCUGGACACCUUACCCCUUGUACACCACGGAGCUGACCCCAGGCCUCCCUCACGCAGCGUUCACUUACCCAGCGGCCGCUGCCGCUGCUGCAGCCCUCCACGCCCAGGUGAGGGACCAACCGAUGCGCUGGUACCCUACUCCCUCUGAGACUUCCCAGCCUGGAUGGAAAUCCCGGCAGUUUUGUUAGAUAUUUAGUGAGUAACCUUUGGUCCAACAGUGUUUUUAGAUUUGCCAACCCCCACCCACCAUCCUCGACCUGCUAACCUGAUGCCACCCAAACUGAAACUUGCAUAAUGAAAUAAACACAAUGUUUAACUAGAAGCUGCAGAAUGUUUCAACAUAAAUGAGAAAGAAGAGACUUAUGAAAAUAACUGAUUUAUUGUUCAAAGAUAAGGCUUCUGGAAACCACACCUUUGUCCAGCUGAAGUGAGGUUUGCCAAGCUCUUCAUUAAUUUAAUCAGGUUUAUUUAAUGGACAAAUGUGCAUUAUUAUAAACAAACAGUAUUUAUAUCUCCUCCCGAUUGUUUCCGGGGGGAGUUUGAGUUGAAACCAUCUUGCUGUCGACAAUCUGAGCUCAUCCUUGGCAACUAUUGCGGUACCAUCCUAGCACUUCAAAAAAAAAAAAAAAAAAAAAAAAAACCUCAUGCAAAGCCUAGUCAAAGUCAAUGGAUCAUAAUUGCUGAGGAA